AGCUCAGGACGAAGUGUGAUUAAAUGUUACCCACAUGUGUGCUGCUGAGAAGGAUGUAGAGGGGCACCUGCGGCCAAAUCCAAGCCUCCUCAGCAACUUCAGGUCUGUCAGCGUGCUGAGGUCACAGAAACAAGAAGCUUCAGACUUCAGAGUGUUGUUUACAGUUUUCUGUCAUCAUGAUCUCCCCUGAAGUUUAUCAAGCAAGCAGAGCAGCAGUUUGUGCUCACAGAUGGUGACGGUGUGGAGAGACGGUGGUGUUUCCUCAGAAGAACUAGCAGAGUCACAAAGGGCACGAGUCCAUCUCACCACCUUGACUUGUUGAUCAGUGGACACACUUGUCUCCCCUUUAAAGGAGAUACUCUUAGAGAGAGACGAUCCGAGUCAUCCUUAAAUAUGGGCAGGAUAUCAGUCUUGGACUGUCUAACCUGCCGGAGCAGCACUGAAUGACCACCACACAUGAGCAGUUCCUGCAACAUUCAGCAGCUCUGCUUUUGUGUCAAAUGUCCAACAACUGGAGAGGAAACUACACCAGUGUACUGGGAUGUUUCACCAACACGUGCCAGACGCUGUUCCUUCAUGGUGACAUCACCAGAGAAUGCCCCGCCCACCUCAUGACCUCGCCAUUGAUCAUGAUGAUUUUAAUGAUGACAGCGAGCGGAACUAAGACUGUAAAAAUCAGAAUGUUUAGAUGCUUUCUAAUUAUUCAUGAAUACUGAGAGCCUCUUUCUGUGUUUUGUCUGGUUUUUUUUACUUCAUUUGUUACUCACAAAGUUCACCAAACUCACACAGUUUACAUUCUGUAUGUUUCCAUCUUUACCAGCCACACUCUACCCGCAAUUAAGAAAAUAAUCCUUAGAAAUUGUCGUUUUUCUCUUUUGUAAUUUUGUAAUUCAGUGAAUAUACUGCGCUGCUUCCUUUAAUUGCGUCUCACAUUGCUAUAAGUUUUUCCAGUGUCCAGCUAUUUUUUUACUGCUGUUUGAAUUCUCUGUAUGUUUGACCCUGUAGACUGUUUGAUGGACUGCUUGUCUUCCCGUUUGUAACCACCACCUGUUUUUGACUAAAGAUUUGGAUUUCUGAC